UCUCAAAGGCAUUAUUAGCUCUGUUCAGGUUGCGGAUGGGAACUUCAGGUGUGUAUUUCAGUUGAAACCUGGACAAACUUGACUGUGCAGUGGGCCGAUAAAAUCACAGCCGCGGGCCGCAAAUGGCCCUCGGGCCACACUUUGGACACCCCUGACCUAAAGGCUCAUCACACUGAUAUUCUCUGGAAGGUGGACUGGCUGUCGGAGUAUCUGCAAAUAGAAGAACAAGAGGCGAAUCUGGAGCAAAAGAGAAGAGGAUAGAGGGUGAAGUGCUCCAGGAAUCAGUGCUGCCUCUAUGAGAUAUGAUGCUGCUUGAUUUUGAUCAUUGACAUUUGCUUUCUCAUGCAUCCCGAAAAACAAAGCCUGCCUUCCAUUAAGGAAUUAUUCAAAUAACCUUCAACAGUGGAUGUUUUCCUACAGUUUUGUUGCAGGAAUAUGAGAACACAUACUGACAUCUCAAUUACUUAUGCAACGCUGAGAGUAGGCCCAGUGGAUGCAAUCACCGUGUGUGCGAUCCUCAGUCACUCCGAAUCACAGAGGCUCCCGGACAGACACACAUAAUUCAGACAAGUCAGACAGGAUUUGCAUACAAAGACUGCAAAAAAAAAAAAAAAAACAUAAAUAAAAAAUGCACCGUCUUGAGGGGGAGAGAAGACAGAGAUUCAAGAGAAGGGGGAUAGUGAUGGAAGGAGGGAAGCCAAGUAAAUUGUUUUAAAAAGGUCUAACACGUCAUGUUUUAUAUGUAAAAGGCUUGCUACAGCGAGCUGAUAUCGGCCUGUUUUAAAUCUCCACACAAAGCCGGACAUAAAUAUUAAAAAGAUAUCGGAAACUGGUGUAGGAUGUUCCUCGCUGGUACGUCAGCAGCACACUGGACCAGCUAUUGUUGUCCAUCUUGAUUCCUUAUAAAAAAAAAAAUGUUCCCCCCUUCCAAAUCUUCUGGA